UCUGGGGAGGGGGUCCCUCAGCCUGGAUUGCAAGAGGGUGCAGGCCACGUCGAGGGACCCUACUGGUGCACA
rnacentral:pre_miRNA from 1 species